rnacentral:rRNA from 1 species
AACGCGAAGAACCUUACCAGGUCUUGACAUCCUCUGACAACUCUAGAGAUAGAGCGUUCCCCUUCGGGGGACAGAGUGACAGGUGGUGCAUGGUUGUCGUCAGCUCGUGUCGUGAGAUGUUGGGUUAAGUCCCGCAACGAGCGCAACCCUUGAUCUUAGUUGCCAGCAUUUAGUUGGGCACUCUAGGGUGACUGCCGGUGACAAACCGGAGGAAGGUGGGGAUGACGUCAAAUCAUCAUGCCCCUUAUGACCUGGGCUACACACGUGCUACAAUGGAUGGUACAAAGGGCUGCAAGACCGCGAGGUCAAGCCAAUCCCAUAAAACCAUUCUCAGUUCGGAUUGCAGGCUGCAACUCGCCUACAUGAAGCUGGAAUCGCUAGUAAUUGCGGAUCAGCAUGCCGCGGUGAAUACGUUCCCGGGCCUUGUACACACCG